GCGGUACCGGUUCACGCUCUGAUGGCUCUGUUGGCUCCUGGGGGGACGACCCCCCAGGCCCCCGGAAAACCAGAAGGGCGACCCGGCGACC
rnacentral:ncRNA from 1 species